ensembl:snoRNA LOC120102042 small nucleolar RNA SNORA17
ACUGCCCCUAGGGGCAUUUCAGGUGUGGCUACAGUGUCACAUGUGUCUCAGUAUGUGACAGGAAAGAGACAGGCUAUGCCUACACUCAAUGUUCUGACCUGUGAACAUCUGAAUGAUUAGUAGCCUAACAUU